AGUGGCGCACGGGUGAGUAACACGUAGGUCAUCUGCCUUUUAGUGGGGAAUAACACAGGGAAACCUGUGCUAAUGCCGCAUGUGUAAGUGAUUACAAAGGAGCCGCCGUAAGGGGUUUCGCUAAAAGAAGAGCCUGCGGCCUAUUAGCUAGUUGGUGGGGUAAUGGCCUACCAAGGCAACGAUAGGUAUCCGGUCUGAGAGGAUGAUCGGACACACUGGAACUGAGACACGGUCCAGACUCCUACGGGAGGCAGCAGUAGGGAAUAUUGCGCAAUGGGGGAAACCCUGACGCAGCAACGCCGCGUGAGUGAGGAAGGUCUUCGGAUUGUAAAACUCUUUUGUUAGGGAAAAAUGGUCAUGGAGCUAAUACCCCAUGAUUUGAUGGUACCUAAAGAAUAAGCACCGGCUAACUUCGUGCCAGCAGCCGCGGUAAUACGAAGGGUGCAAGCGUUGUUCGGAAUCAUUGGGCGUAAAGCGCGCGCAGGCGGAUUAGUAAGUCAGAUGUGAAAUCUCGGAGCUCAACUCCGAAACUGCGUCUGAAACUACUAGUCU
rnacentral:rRNA from 1 species